UUACUAAUUAUCUCCUGGGAGGGGAUAACCUUAGUACUGAUGUUCCUUAACGGGUUUGAAAUUUUAUUCAUAAAAUAAAUAUAUAUAAAUUAACAUUUUUAUAACAGUACGGUGUGACCCUAAUCAUCAUUGCUGGUUCGUGUUUCUUGUUAAAAUAACUAUUUCGCCCCGUAGCUCAGUGAAUAUUACCACUGAUAAUAAAUAAAAAUAUAGUCUUAUAUUACAUAAGAAUAUAAGAAUAUCUCUUUUAUUACAUUUUUUUUUAAUUUUCUAAUUUAAAUUUUGUUGUAAAAAAAUAGAGCAUUGUUGUACCCAAGGAAAAUACCUUUGCACAAAUAAUUUAUGCUUUCAAGGCUUCAAGAUAAUUAUAACAUUAUUGUAAAAGAAAUACGAUGCUAAUGAAUAAUAAAAACAAUGAGUGAUAUUAAUAAACUCGUGAACUGUAAAACAAAUGAAACAUUUUUCCGUUCACCUGUAAAAUUCACAGUACAAUUUCAAUGAACAAAAUAUCGGUAUCCGCAACCAUUUUUACUACAACCGAUAAUCAUUUUUUUCCGAUUCAUUUGCAAUAUAUAAGUUGUAAAGGAAAAAAUUGUUGAAAAACCAAUUAUCUUAUACUCAAACAAUCUUCAGUGGUAGUUCAUUUUUUACUUGUUCUCUCUACGUGAGAUAUUUAAAUCAAUUGUUUCGAAUCUUCCCACGGCCCACUUGUAAGAUUUAAACUAUGAUAAAAUCACCUUUGAAAAUGUUAAUUUACAGCUAAUUUUUAAAAUAGACGCCUAGCUUAUAUUAUAAUGAAGAAACCGCUUUAUCCGUCAAAUCCUGUAUGUUGUGACAACGUGUUGUUACUUGACUGUGAAACGGCGACGACGGAAUACCAGAAAACCGGUUACCACUACGAAAUCCAACACGCAUGCGGAACUCAAUUUAUCAAGUCCGUUUAUUUCAUCGGUUCGCUCUGGUCUUGGUUUUAGUUAUCAUGUAUCAGUCUUUUAAAAAACGGACCGUGCAGAGCUCAAGUACUCGUAUACAGCUGCCACACCACACCUUUUAAUAGAAUUUGUAUUUAUAUAUAAUGUAAAAUCGGUGUCCGGUAUCCGUUUUCAGCACAGCAAGAAGCGUUGCGAUCCGGUUGACGCAUCAGCGGAACGUUGCGUAAUGGACAGUAUGGCCCAAUGGACACUAUGGCCAUCUGCAUUCAUAUCAAUGCGUUUUGUUUUUAUCGUUUAAAGGUCCGUUUUCACAGUACCGAUAGAAACGGAUGGCUGGGCAAAAAGUAGUUGUGUUAUUUGUUUAACAACUAUAUGGAUUGUGCACAUGACUGCGGUGGUGUAACAAUAUUCCGAAGAAACGAAAAAUAUUCUCGGUCGACCUUUUCCUAAAAAAAAACCAUCGGGUUUGACCAUCGCGGGUACUCGGAAAUGGUGUAAUUUGAUCAUAAUGACAGUGGUCGGAUAAAUUAUCCCGGACGCAGAAACCCAAUUGUCAACAUAUUAAUGGAUUUCAAAUCAUAAACGACAAAAAUCGGGUGAAACUCCUAAGUCAGAGAAGAAACAGGAACAGAUGAAUGAUAUAGGUGAAACCAUGUUUUACCAUUUUUCGAAAAAAAAACGAAUUUUGAGUGAAAGAGUUUGGACGGAUCAGAUUAUAUUUUUAAAUAUAGUUGAUGUUGUGGUAAAACAGAUUUCUUAAUAAUGUAUGUUGAAUUUUUAUAUUCCAUUUUUUUUUUUUUUUUAAAGACAUUUAGGUAAGCAAGUAAAUGACGUUAAAAUGUUAUUAGACCUUUACGUGUUAUCAAACUACAAUUAAUUAACUUAUUUGGUAAAAUUUGAAAACCGCUUGCGUCUAAACAGCACAAAUCAGUGGCGCCCACGUAGGGUGUCAUUUAGUGAAAUUGCACAGGUUUCUCGUGGGUCCCAGGGCCUACAUACAUUUGAUGGCCCCCUCUCUUUGAGAGCAAACACUAUAAAUGCAUAACUAAUCGACUGGAUCUUUAGAUCGUUAAAUAAAACGUAAAGUGUUGGAUAACAUGCAAAAAAAAAUAUAAAUAUAUAGUAACUAAUAUACGAGUAGAUAACUAUAAUAAUGUUGAUUGUGUUUGUAGUUUGUGAACAAUACUUUCCAAACUCCUAUGUACGGACGGAAAUUUCAUGAAGGACAAAUAUUUUUCACGAAACAAUCACUUCAAUUUGAUAUCGAGUAAUUUUCGCACGUCCAGUACCAUACCAAUAUAUUUCAUCCUAAUAU